rnacentral:rRNA from 1 species
CGUAGGUGCAAGCGUUGUCCGGAAUUAUUGGGCGUAAAGAGCUCGUAGGUGGUUCGUCGCGUCUGCUGUGAAAGUCCGAGGCUUAACCUCGGAUCUGCAGUGGGUACGGGCGGACUAGAGUGCGGUAGAGGAGAUCGGAAUUCCUGGUGUAGCGGUGGAAUGCGCAGAUAUCAGGAGGAACACCGGUGGCGAAGGCGGAUCUCUGGGCCGUAACUGACGCUGAGGAGCGAAAGCAUGGGGAGCGAACAGGCUU